rnacentral:rRNA from 1 species
GACGAACGCUGGCGGCGUGCUUAACACAUGCAAGUCGAACGGAAAGGCCUGCUUUCCCUUGUGGAUUGCGGGUACUCGAGUGGCGAACGGGUGAGUAACACGUGAGUGAUCUGCCCCCAACUUGGGUAUAAGCCUGGGAAACUGGGUCUAAUUCCCGAUAGGACUGCAGGGUGGUGCCCGUGGUGGAAAACGAUUUUCUAGUGGUUGGGGAUGAGCUCGCGGCCUAUCAGCUUGUUGGUGGGGUAAUGGCCUACCAAGGCGGCGACGGGUAGCCGGCCUGGGAGGGUGGGCGGCCACAGUGGGACUGAGAUACGGCCCAGACUCCUACGGGAGGCAGCAGUGGGGAAUAUUGCACAAUGGGCGGAAGCCUGAUGCAGCGACGCCGCGUCGGGGAUGACGGCCUUCGGGUUGUAAACUCCUUUCGACCGCGAGGAAGCCACCUGGUUGGAAGGGUGGUGACGGUAGUGGUAGAAGAAGCACCGGCUAACUACGUG